GUAUUUAAUACACAGGGGAGAUAGAAUACAAUCCACAGAUCUCUGCCUGAGCCACCUGCACCAUGUCGUGGUCUGUCCUCUUCAUCACUUCUCUAUUAUUCUGCACAAAUUGUGCCGCUCAGGUGAGUGUGACCCAACCAGCCGCUCAAUCCGUCUCUCCUGGGAACACGAUGACAUUACCUUGUACAGUUACUGGGUUCAGUAUAGGUGAUCGCUGGGUGCACUGGUUUCAGCAGAAAACAGGGGAAAAACCCAGAUAUCUGUUAUAUUAUAAAAGUGACAGUGACAAACACCAAGGAGCCGGGGUCCCUGAUCGGUUCUCUGGAUCCAAAGACACCCCAAAGAACACAGGAUAUUUAACCAUUAAGUCAGUGAUGUUAGAAGAUGAAGCAGAUUAUCAUUGUGGUAUGUGGCAUCCUACUAUUAGCAAUCUGUGGAUUUUCGGUGGUGGAACUACAGUCAGCGUCAUAACAGCCGGUGAAGUGAAGGUACCAAAUGUUUUAAUAUAUCCUCCUUCUGAAGAGGAGCUGAAGACAAACUCAGCCACCAUAGUUUGUACUGCCAGUGAUUAUCGCCCCAGUCCUGCAACAAUGGAAUUUCUGGUGGAUGGGCAAAAACAGACGGAUGGGGUCUACACGUCACCAGUGGCCAAACAGAGUGACAACUCAUACAUGGGAAGUAGUUUCCUCACUCUGGCAGCUUCUGAUUAUAAUAAACAAAAGGAAUACUCCUGCAAGGUGACACAUGAAGGCAAAGAGUUUAUCCAGAUACUAAAGAGAUCAGAGUGCUUCUAAUAUUCAGUUUCCUUCUUUGUGAAUGAUUCUGGUGGCCUGUUUACUCACACAAGAUAUCAACACUUGUAUUCUGCAUUUUUCUCUCUCAUUGGUAGCCACUAGAUUAUUUACUUUUUGUGAAAUAAAAUGUUUAACUUUUAGCUUUCUUAUGCCUUAAUUUACAAAUGAAAUGGCAACAGUCACUGUGUACUGGCCAUAUGUUUUUCCUUUCAUGUUGUCUUUGAAACAUUUAAUAAAAUUACUGUAUUGUUAACAUA